UAAGGAAUAUUGCUCAAUGGGAGAAAUCCUGAAGCAGCAACGCCGCGUGGAGGAUGAAGGGUCUAUGACUUGUAAACUCCUGUAAAGAAGGAAAAAAUUCCCAUUUGAUGGGAGAUGAUGGUACUUCUGGAGUAAGCCCCGGCUAACUACGUGCCAGCAGCCGCGGUAAUACGUAGGGGGCAAGCGUUGUCCGGAUUUACUGGGUGUAAAGGGUGCUCAGGCGGAUUUGUAAGUCAGAGGUGAAAUCUUACAGCUUAACUGUGAAACUGCCUUUGAUACUGCAAGCCUAGAGUAUGGAAGAGAGUGAUGGAAUAUCUGGUGUAGCAGUGAAAUGCGUAAAUAUCAGAUAGAACACCAAUGGCGAAGGCAGUCACUUGGUCCAUUACUGACGCUAAAGCACGAAAGCGUGGGUAGCAAACA
rnacentral:rRNA from 1 species